AGCUCCAAUAGCGUAUAUUAAAGUUGUUGCAGUUAAAAAGCUCGUAGUUGGAUUUGUGGUUGAGGUGGCCGGCCCUCACUAUGUGUGGUGCUUGGCUGUCCUCGUCCAUCCUUGGGUGGAACUGGUGUGGCAUUAAGUUGUCGUGUCAGGGAUGCCCAUCAUUUACUGUGAAAAAAUUAGAGUGUUCAAAGCAGGCAUUCAUCGUGCCCGAAUACAUGAGCAUGGAAUAAUGGAACAGGACUACGGUCACUGCACUUUUUCCGUUGGUUUCGGAGGACCGAAGUAAUGAUUAAGAGGGACAGUUGGGGGCAUCCGUAUUUCGUAGUCAGAGGUGAAAUUCUUGGAUCUGCGAAAGACGAACGAGUGCGAAAGCAUUUGCCAAGAGUGUUUUCAUUAAUCA
rnacentral:rRNA from 1 species